rnacentral:tRNA from 1 species
GCCUUCGUGGUGUAGUGGUCAGCACGCUCAACUCAUAUCCGAGAGGUCCGUGGUUCGAUUCCCGGCGAAGGCG